AGCCUCUUGACCGGCUGCUCUCCUUUCCUUUCUGUUUUCCAGAUGAGUUUGCCACACAGGAGUACAGUGCUCCUUGCACCACAGCCAAGGCUGAACAGGGAAAUGCCUGAAGACCACAUCUUGUCUGAACCUUGCUGGAACAACACGCAUGUCUCUCCCCCUAGAAGUUCUUGUUGCAGGGGCCUAUUGAAAUGUUAGAGGAGGACACCUCAGCACCAAAAAGGAAGCAACACUGUAAAUAAAUUAAGUCUUCAUUCUCA
rnacentral:lncRNA from 1 species